rnacentral:rRNA from 1 species
GACGAACGCUGGCGGCGUGCUUAACACAUGCAAGUCGAACGGUGAAAGAGGAGCUUGCUCCUCUGGAUCAGUGGCGAACGGGUGAGUAACACGUGAGUAACCUGCCCUUGACUCUGGGAUAAGCGUUGGAAACGACGUCUAAUACCGGAUACGAACCGCGAAGGCAUCUUCUGCGGUUGGAAAGAAUUUCGGUCAAGGAUGGACUCGCGGCCUAUCAGCUUGUUGGUGAGGUAAUGGCUCACCAAGGCGACGACGGGUAGCCGGCCUGAGAGGGUGACCGGCCACACUGGGACUGAGACACGGCCCAGACUCCUACGGGAGGCAGCAGUGGGGAAUAUUGCACAAUGGGCGCAAGCCUGAUGCAGCAGCGCCGCGUGAGGGAUGACGGCCUUCGGGUUGUAAACCUCUUUUAGUAGGGAAGAAGCGAAAGUGACGGUACCUGCAGAAAAAGCACCGGCUAACUACGUGCCAGCAGCCGCGGUAAUACGUAGGGUGCAAGCGUUGUCCGGAAUUAUUGGGCGUAAAGAGCUCGUAGGCGGUUUGUCGCGUCUGCUGUGAAAACUGGAGGCUCAACCUUCAGACGUCGACCGAAACCCCCUGGCUAGAGUCCGGGAGAGGAGAGUGGAAUUCCUGGUGUAGCGGUGGAAUGCGCAGAUAUCAGGAAGAACACCCGUGGCGAAAGCGGCUCUCUGGAACGGUACUGACGCUGAGACGCGAAAGCGUGGGGAGCGAACAGGAUUAGAUACCCUGGUAGUCCACGCCGUAAACGAUGGGCGCUAGGUGUGGGAGGUGUCGACUCCUCCCGUGCCGCAGCUAACGCAUUAAGCGCCCCGCCUGGGGAGUACGGCCGCAAGGCUA